AACGCUAGCUACAGGCUUAACACAUGCAAGUCGAACGGAUUCUGGAUUCGUCUGGAAUUAGUGGCAAACGGGUGAGUAACACGUAUCCAACCACCCUGCGACUCGGGGAUAGCCUCUUGAAAGGGAGAUUAAUAUCCGAUGUACUGUUUUUGGUGCAUGCCAUUUUCAGUAAAGUUUUUUACGGUCGCUGACGGGGAUGCGUUCCAUUAGAUAGUCGGUGUGGUAACGGCUCACCGAGUCUAUGAUGGAUAGGGGUUCUGAGAGGAAGGUCCCCCACAUUGGAACUGCGACACGGUCCAAACUCCUACGGGAGGCAGCAGUGAGGAAUAUUGGUCAAUGGGCGCAAGCCUGAACCAGCCAAGUAGCGUGCAGGACGACGGCCCUAUGGGUUGUAAACUGCUUUUUCGCGGGGAUAAAGAGGAGGACGUGUCCCCCGUUGCAGGUACCGCGUGAAUAAGGACCGGCUAAUUCCGUGCCAGCAGCCGCGGUAAUACGGAAGGUCCGGGCGUUAUCCGGAUUUAUUGGGUUUAAAGGGAGCGUAGGCCGUCGUUUAAGCGUGUUGUGAAAUGCCGCGGCUCAACCGUGGCACUGCAGCGCGAACUGGAUGACUUGAGUUCGCGGGAGGUAGGCGGAAUUCGUGGUGUAGCGGUGAAAUGCUUAGAUAUCACGAAGAACUCCGAUUG
rnacentral:rRNA from 1 species